CAGGGAGACAACAAAAUGUUUAAUAUUAUUAUUUUGUCACCUUAGGUCGAUCGGUAUCUCACGUUCUUAAUUUAUUAAGAAUUUCAUUUCCUAAGUUUUUCUAGGUCACACCCAUUAUUUUUCCUGGGCCAUUAGCUCAGGUGGUUAGAGCGCACCCCUGAUAAGGGUGAGGUCCCUGGUUCAAGUCCAGGAUGGCCCAUAUCUCUAUGUUGGGGGUAUAGCUCAGUUGGUAGAGCGCCUGCUUUGCAAGCAGGAUGUCAGCGGUUCGAGUCCGCUUACCUCCACUGAUUACCACCUCUUCCAUAACCGGUAGAAAGGAAAUGUUUUGAGUUGUGAUCAUUAUUCUGAACGAAUCUAGCUUCCUAAUGAAAUCAUUAAGAUGCUGGACUCAUUGAAUUAAUUUCAUUGUUUUCAGAGAACCUUGACAACUGCAUAGAUUAUUUUUAAAGACAAUAAGCAUCUUUAAUGAUGCANAUUUAUUAUUUGUGCGAAUGCAUUAAUAACAAUUCUAUUGAGCUGAUGCUUCAAUUUUUGAAGUUAUU
rnacentral:tRNA from 1 species